rnacentral:RNase_P_RNA from 1 species
GUAGCAGGACGGUCGUGUCGCUUGCCGAGUGUGGCCCGCGUGCGGGCACUGAGCGGCAAGAGGAAAGUCCGGGCAACACAGAGCACCAUACUCUCUAACGGGGAGCUGUCGGUGACGGCAGAGUAGCGUGACAGAGAAUGACAGCCUCCACCCACACGUGGAGGUGAUGGUGAAAAGGCGGGGUAAGAGCCCACCGGGUAUCGUGGCGACACGAUAUGCCGCACGUCUUAUGGGUUGCAAGGCCAUGUAUACCGGCAUGUGGAGAGUGCUCCCUCGCGGAGCCGCCACAAUGGGUUGCUCGCCCAUCGCCGGGGGGUAGGCUGCUUGAGCGCCGUAGCUAUGCGAGGCGCCGAUUAGAUAAAUGACUGCGACCGCCGCGGUAACCUUCAAGGGCGUGUAAAUGCCUGACGAGAAGUGCCGUGACGACAUAACCCGGCUUAUAGUCCUGCUACCUUU